CAGAACAAGAACCCAUAAUUUCACAUAGUGACAGUAAAACAAAGAUUGGAGCAAAUAUUAGUAGUAGGGGGUCGACUUGUCCAUUCAAAUUUUUUUUGGAUGUUCCUAAAAAACAUCCUUUUAGGGCCAGGAAUACUGGGAAAUUUUUAACAUCCACACAUCAGCCCGGCCAGUCUCAAACAUGGCAAAAAAUAUUUCCCGGGGUCGAUUUUCGGCUAUUUCGGCAGGUUCACUGCUGUCACAAAAUUGCAAAUUUGCAGCUAAAAACAGUCUUUUAGGUUCUGAAAAUGUGGGGUCAAAAACAUUUUGAGUUAAAAAAAAAAAAUAAAAUGCUCGAUUUUUUUGGCAACGGGUCUGGCAAAAUGACCUAAAAAUCAUUGUCCCCUCUAAAAUUUUGUAUUUUGACAUUUCUGGGUCUGGCCAGAAAUGUCCAUUGGCUAUCUGCUGGAGCAAACCAUCCAUAGAUAGCCUGCAGUUUCCAGGUCAUUGAGAGAAAAAAAAAUAAAAAAUAAAAAAUUCAUACGACAUGCAUAUGUUUAGUGGGCCCUCAAGUGGCCCCAGGACCCUAAACAGGCCCUUCGUUGGCCAAACAGACUGGGUGGAAAUCCACUUGACUUGUAAGAGGUGAUGACGCAACUUAAACGGUAUGCUUGUUUUCUUCCUGUUUAUAUACGAACAAAAGAAUUAGGACACACAUUUCAAUGAUCAGUCAGGGCUUGGCUGCGCUUGGUCACUCGCACGGACGAUUUUAAUUCAAAAGUUGCAUAAAACAUUUCUUUCAUUGCUUUGUAAAGCACAUAUAUACAACAAGGGGGGUUGAUCAUUAUUGAAAAAAAACAUGACAUUAGUACAGUCACACAAAAAAAAAAGAAAAAAUGAAAAAAGCGCAAUAUUACCAGAAAUAAAUUUGAUAGAUUUCGAGAAUAAAGUCACGAUAUUAUGUAUACAAAGAUUAAUUUUUUUUUUUAGUAUUUUAUUUAAUUUUUAAAAAUGAAGUGCUUUGAGAAUAAAAUUGGGCCAUUAUGAUUUUCUUUCUUUAUAAUUUUAUGAGAAAAAGUUGUUCUAUUGCAAGAAAAAAGUUGAAUAAGAUUUCAAAAACAAAAUGGUGAUGUGGGAAUAAAGUCGUAAUAUUUUGAGAUUAAAGUUGUCAUAUUUCUAAAAAGAAAAAAAAAAUCAUACUAUAACAAUAAAGAUGUUUUACUGUUAGGAGAAUAAAGUGAAGAUGAGUGAAAAUGAAAUGUCAUAAUGCUAUGAGAACAAAGUUGUAAUACCCCCCCAAAAAAGAUAUAGAAUUUUGAUAUUAAAAUCCUACUGUUAUGAGAAUAAAGGCAUAAUAUUUUGAGAAUAAAUUUGCAAUAUUUCUAGUAUAAAUUUGUGAUAUUUUAAUUCAAAAUGUUUACAAUUUUGAGUAUAAAGUAUUAAUUGUUAAUUGUUAUGAGAACAAAGUUGUAAUGUUGCAAGACAAAAGAUGAAUAAAGUUUUUAGAAUAACACCUCAAUAUUAUGAGAAUAAAGUUGUACUGUACCAAGAAUAAUGUUGCAAUGUUGUAAGAGUAAAGUCCUAAUUAUUAUGAUAAAAAAAAAAAUGUAAAAAAAAAUCGCAAUGUUAUGACAACAAAUUUGUAAUAACCCAAGAAAAAAAGUUCCAGAAUAAACUCCUUAUGUUAUGAGACUAAAGUGCUAAUAUUUUGCAAAUAAAGUUGGAUGAGUUUGGAAAAUAAAUCAUACAAUUUAUAAAAUCGUAGUAUUGAGAGAAUAAAGUCAUACUUUUGUAAGACAACAUUUUAAGAAUAAAAAUGUACUAUAACGACAAUAAAGUUGCAAUGUUAUGAGAAUAAAGUCAUACAAUAACGACAACCCGAUUCGUAAAACCCAGACUUUAUUCCGGUAAUUCUAUGACUAAUUCCUUUUUAGUGUGGCCCUAAUACUCUUUGGAAACAUAUGAAUCCGUCAAAGGACAACGGUACAAGGUAGAGGGAGGAAAAAGAAUCGAAAACGAGAAAAUUGUAAUACGGAAAAAUUCUGAACGUUGAAAGUGUUACGAUAAUUUUCUAAUCGAGAGGAAUAACAGACACAGGAUAAUUUAAGAUCACACCUAGGUGGUAAUUAUUUCUGUGUAAAAAGGAUUUAACCUUUUCAAAUGUAAACACACCACAAAACCUCGUCUAUUUAGAUCAGACGGUUAGUAAAAAAAAAAAAAAAAAGUCAAAGCAAACCAGGCGUGGCCAGACGCCGUGUUUAGACAACACGGGAAAAGUCACGCAUGACGAAAUACCCUGAGGUAAAGUGCGAUAUUACGAAACGGACGUCUUGUUUGAUCCCUCCACAAAUCACGGUCCCUGAAAAUGAGAACUUUGAAAGUAUAUGUCGCCAGCAUAGGUUCUCCACAUCUGUGUUGGAAGACAUAGCAACACUAAAACACAGCGCCACCUCGUGACAACAAAAGGAAAAACACCCAGGGACACACGACGCUUAUAAACGAUCUACCGCAUAACAGUGAAGGACAGAAGGAGGUGGAAGUAAUGAAUCAAACCGCCAGUCUUUUGCGCGUUCAAGUCUUUUCUGUUGGCAGUUGUGCGUCAGCGAAGAAGAAGUAGAAGCGCAGAAACGGCGGAGCUCAGCAGGAGGUGUGCAGGUGCGAGUCUGCAGCUGGAACUCAAAGCUAGGACAGCAAAAUAAAAAAAAAGAAAAAAAAAAAAAGAAAUGAUGUUGCAGGGUUUUUUUUUUUUCAUCAUUUGUGCACUUUUAUUUGUACAGUUGUACCUUGCUAAUUUGAAGUUGAAAAUAUAUAUAAUUUAAUGGCAAUUAUAAUGAGAGUCAGUGAUUUGCAGAUUUUCGCGGUCUUUGUGGGACAAAUAAAGGUUAUCUUAUCUUACAAUAAAAAUACUCACAGGCAUAUAUUAUUUAUCCUUUGCAAAAAAAAUGACUAAUAGCUUGCUGACUCACUUAGUUGUGAAACUCUGCUUCAUGUGUUUUCUAUGUCUGUAUUAUGCUGCCCCCUGGGGGGCAAAGCGUGCACACCAGAAGGAGCAAAAUGACAAUAGACAUUGAAGACUGAACUGAUGAUGCGCAAAAACUCUUCAAAUCUUUAUAUUCAAUGUCAUUAUGUUAUUACUGUAUGUUUUUUUAAUAAACAUGGAGAGGGCUAUUUUUCUUAUUAAAACGCAACACGAAAAUGCAUGAAAUGAAAAUGAAAAAUGGAAUGUGCUAACGCACAGGUGUCAAACUGGUGGCCCGGGGGCAAGAUCUGGCCCACAACAUCAUUUUAUGUGGCCCGCGAAAGCAAAUCAUAUGUGUCGACUUUAUGUUUCUUGUAAAAAUACCAAAAUUGUUGUCUUUACUUGUAUAAUGUUGAGAUAUUGCAAGCAUUUUAUGUUACCAAUCACCUUUUUGAAAUAAAUGUAAUAGUAGUUGAA